AGUCGAACGCGAAAGCCCGCAAGGGUGAGUAGAGUGGCGCACGGGUGAGUAACACGUGGACAACCUGCCUUCGAGUGGGGAAUAACCUUCCGAAAGGAGGGCUAAUACCGCAUAACACCUCGGAGCACAAGUUCUGGGGUUGAAAAGAGCAAUUUGCUCGAAGAGGGGUCCGCGCCUGAUUAGCUAGUUGGUGAGGUAAUGGCUCACCAAGGCUUCGAUCAGUAGCCGUCCUGAGAGGGAGCACGGCCACACUGGAACUGAGACACGGUCCAGACUCCUACGGGAGGCAGCAGUGGGGAAUUUUUGGCAAUGGGCGAAAGCCUGACCAAGCAACGCCGCGUGGGUGAUGAAGUAUCUUGGUACGUAAAACCCUUUCGGCAGGAACGAACCUAAUGACGGUACCUGCGGAAGAAGCCCCGGCUAACUCCGUGCCAGCAGCCGCGGUAAUACGGGGGGGGCAAGCGUUGUUCGGAAUUACUGGGCGUAAAGGGCGCGUAGGCGGUUGGAUAAGUCAGCUGUGAAAACCACGGGCUUAACUCGUGGCCUGCAGUUGAGACUGUCUGGCUUGAGUGUGGGAGAGGAGAGUGGAAUUCCUGGUGUAGCGGUGAAAUGCGUAGAUAUCAGGAGGAACACCGGUGGCGAAGGCGGCUCUCUGG
rnacentral:rRNA from 1 species